GGUGAACGCUGGCGGCGUGCCUAAUACAUGCAAGUCGAGCGAACGAACGAGAAGCUUGCUCUUCUUAUAUUAGCGGCGGACGGGUGAGUAACACGUUGAUAACCUACCUAUAAGACUGGGAUAACUUCGGGAAACCGGAGCUAAUACCGGAUAAUAUUUUGAACCGCAUGUUUCAAAAGUGAAAGACGGUCUUGCUGUCACUUAUAGAUGGAUCCGCGCUGCAUUAGCUAGUUGGUAAGGUAACGGCUUACCAAGGCAACGAUCCAUAGCCGACCUGAGAGGGUGAUCGGCCACACUGGAACUGAGACACGGUCCAGACUCCUACGGGAGGCAGAAGUAGGGAAUCUUCCGCAAGGGGCGAACGCCUGACGAAGAAACGCCGCGUGAGUGAUGAAGGUCUUCGGAUCGUAAAACUCUGUUAUUAGGGAAAAACAUAUGUGUAAGUAACUGUGCACAUCUUGACGGUACCUAAUCAGAAAGCCACGGCUAACUACGUG
rnacentral:rRNA from 1 species